rnacentral:rRNA from 1 species
CCUACGGGAGGCAGCAGUGAGGAAUAUUGGACAAUGGGCGCAAGCCUGAUCCAGCCAUGCCGCGUGCAGGAAGAAGCAUCUAUGGUGUGUAAACUGCUUUUGUACAGGAAGAAACACUCCCUCGUGAGGGAGCUUGACGGUACUGUAAGAAUAAGGACCGGCUAACUCCGUGCCAGCAGCCGCGGUAAUACGGAGGGUCCGAGCGUUAUCCGGAAUCAUUGGGUUUAAAGGGUCCGUAGGCGGUUUAAUAAGUCAGUGGUGAAAUCUGGUCGCUCAACGAUCAAACGGCCAUUGAUACUGUUAGACUUGAAUUAUAAGGAAGUAACUAGAAUAUGUAGUGUAGCGGUGAAAUGCUUAGAUAUUACAUGGAAUACCAAUUGCGAAGGCAGGUUACUACUUAUGGAUUGACGCUGAUGGACGAAAGCGUGGGGAGCGAACAGGAUUAGAUACCCUGGUAGUCCACGCCGUAAACGAUGGAUACUAGCUGUUCGGAGCAAUCUGAGUGGCUAAGCGAAAGUGAUAGGUAUCCCACCUGGGGGUACGUUCGCAAGAAUGAAACUCAAAGGAAUUGAGG